AUACGCGCGAAUGUAAAGUGAAAAGGGGAUGUCAUUUAGACGCGCCAAUAUAAAAAUCAUAUGCUCAUAGAAAACAGAGUCUAGUUAGCCAAUCAAUAUAUGUAGUUCAAAUAAAAAAUACGUAUAAUAAAAAAAAUUAUAAAUUUCUAUUCUUAUGUAUGUAUGUACAUACACAUUUACGUAAUUUUUUAAAAUUUUAGUAUUGGAAAAACGCAAAGAAUUACCUGUAACUAAAUAUGAUUUUGUCUUCAUCCUUUACAACCGACGUAAAGCAAUAGCCAUCCGUUUCGCAUAUGAAAUUUGUGUCCUUGCAUAUAUCACAAUGACAUUUCAGCGGCCCUGUAGUAUAUAAAACGAAAAAGGGGUUAAAGACGACGCGCCGACAAUAGCAUUGAAUGUAUUUUGAAAAAUAAUCCAAGUGAGUAUGUAUAAAAGAGCAUGUGUAUGUACAUAUGCAUAUACAUACAUAUUACAACAGAUAUGUUUGUAAAUAAAUGAAACAAAUGCAAUGACGUAUGUGAAUGUUAAACAGCUGUUACUACUGCACUGAAGGUGGUGCUGGUGGAUAAGUGGAGCCGAAGUGCAGUGAUUUCCGGAAAAAUAUAAAUAAUUUUUGACAAGUAUAUCGAGAGAAUUAUGUAGCAAAAUUACUUUUCUUGCCAAACAGGAAGAUAAAUUUAGCAUUUGCUGAUGAUAAAAAAUCGUUUACGUAGUAUUCAAAUAUUAUGAUAUGGAAAUCGUUUUGUUAUUUAAGUUUACUCGAAAAAUUAAAGCUUUCGUUCUCAAUUUUUUU